rnacentral:rRNA from 1 species
GUGGGGAAUAUUGGACAAUGGGCGCAAGCCUGAUCCAGCCAUGCCGCGUGAGUGAUGAAGGCCCUAGGGUUGUAAAGCUCUUUCACCGGUGAAGAUAAUGACGGUAACCGGAGAAGAAGCCCCGGCUAACUUCGUGCCAGCAGCCGCGGUAAUACGAAGGGGGCUAGCGUUGUUCGGAAUUACUGGGCGUAAAGCGCACGUAGGCGGACAUUUAAGUCAGGGGUGAAAUCCCAGAGCUCAACUCUGGAACUGCCUUUGAUACUGGGUGUCUUGAGUAUGGAAGAGGUAAGUGGAAUUCCGAGUGUAGAGGUGAAAUUCGUAGAUAUUCGGAGGAACACCAGUGGCGAAGGCGGCUUACUGGUCCAUUACUGACGCUGAGGUGCGAAAGCGUGGGGAGCAAACAGGAUUAGAAACCCGUGUAGUCC